rnacentral:lncRNA from 1 species
GAAGAGCGUCCCCCACCCUGCCCAUGCCACCUAGCGGAUCUUCUUUCAAACCCUGCAUUUCUGAAGGCACGUCUUCCUGUGCUUGGCUGGGUGACUCAUCACAAGGAGAAACGUUAGUCACAUCAGAUGACACAUGGCAGCAGCUAAAACGGGAAAAGCGCUCCCUGAGUCAUCCCUGGAGCCGGGCGGCAAAGGCUCCUCCUGGGACCAUGUGUGGACCCUCCAAUGAGGGGGGCCUGGGUCACCUUCACUGAGUGGACAGGACACUCAGUGAAGUUCCAAAGGACACUCAGUGAAGUUCCAAAGGACACUCCGCGUCUUUUUCCUCCAGCUCCUGAAGGAAGCACAGUGAAGACUCCAGCAUGGAAAAGCGUGUCCCACACGGCCUCGGCGCCUCCAUGGAUGAUAGGCAUGGGGCACCCCCUUUCCUCUGGAAGGUUCUGGUGGGGGGCAGCACACCGUCCACGGGAGCAACGGCCUCUGCAUCUGCCCACUGCAGAUUCACUUCGUAUUUUUAGUUCCCAAACCUUGACAUCCAAGCUCCCGCUCUGUGGCUUCCGCGGCAGCCUGGCAAGCUUCCUGUGAAGUCGCCCGCUGCUGAGCUUCCGCACCCUUCCUCCCGCAGAGCCAGCCAGUCAUGGAAGAGCGGGAUCAUCCCGGAAGGGAGCCUGCAGCGAUGAUCCAGCUCCUUCAAAGGGUCUGUGGAUUAUCUCAGCUUCCCUGGUACGUUCCUGUGGUAGCUCUUGGAGCAAAAGUUCACGAUGUGAGUCUCUACACACUGCUUUGUCUGUCUGAGUGGGAGCUGCAAGCUAGUCCUGCCUCCUGUCCGCCAUCUUAAUCUGCCUGACUCUCCCUUUUUAAUUGUAUUUAUUUAUUUUUGUGAUUGCCUUCUACUAAUGACAAGGAUGUGGCUUUUUCUCUAUGGCAG